rnacentral:rRNA from 1 species
GACGAACGCUGACGGUGUGCUUUAGACAUGCAAGUCGAGCGAGAAAGCCCUUCGGGGUUAGUAAAGCGGCGAACGGGUGAGUAACACGUGGGCAAUCUGCCCCUCGCAGGGGGACAACCGGGGGAAACGUACCGGCUAAUACCCCGUAACGUUUCCAGAGUCGCAUGGCUUUGGAAAGAAAGGUAGCUUCGGCCAUCCGGCGAGGGAUGAGCCCGCGGUACAUUAGCUAGUUGGUGGGGUAACGGCCUACCAAGGCGGCGAGUAUAGCUGGUCUGAGAGGAUGAUCAGCCACACUGGGACUGAGACACGGCCCAGACUCCUACGGGAGGCAGCAGUCGGGAAUCUUGCACAAUGGGCGAAAGCCUGAUGCAGCAACACCGUGUGAGCGAUGAAGGCCCUAGGGUCGUAAAGCUCUGUUGUUGGGGACGAAGGGCGAAGGGUUAAUAGCCCCCAGCUUGACGGUACCCUUCGAGGAAGCUCCGGCUAACUACGUGCCAG